UACAGAGGGUGCGAGCGUUAAUCGGAAUUACUGGGCGUAAAGCGUGCGCAGGCGGUUCGUUGUGUCGGCGGUGAAAUCCCCGGGCUCAACCUGGGAAUGGCCGUUGAAACUGGCGAACUGGAGUGUGGCAGAGGGGGGUGGAAUUCCGCGUGUAGCAGUGAAAUGCGUAGAGAUGCGGAGGAACACCGAUGGCGAAGGCAGCCCCCUGGGCUGACACUGACGCUCAGGCACGAAAGCGUGGGGAGCAAACAGG
rnacentral:rRNA from 1 species